UAGUACUCCCUCUGUCCCAAAUUAUAAGAGAAAAUCACUUUUUAGAUUCAUUGAAUAAUUAAUGUAUAUGGUCUACAUAUAGAUUAAAAAAAAAGAAAAAAAAAAGUAAAAGAAAAUCACUAUUCAUCUCCUCCUUCAACGAAACCCUAAGGUUCUCUCUUCAUCCUUUCCUCUCCAAAUUGUGGUUUCCUAAAAGCUUAGAUUUCAAAUUUCUAUGAUUCCUUUCCUUUUCCAUUCAGUUUCCCGUAAACCCUUUCAAUUUCAAUAUGUUCCUUUCUUUAAAACUCAAACCCUAAUAAUUUGAAAUUAGAAUCACACAUCUUUAGUAUUAAUAUGAAACCCUAUUAAUCAAUCCUACCACUCGUUUGAAUCAUCAUAUUCGAUUUGUUCAAUCGACAAUCUGUGGUUUCGCAAUCAAGAUUUCUGCUGCUCUGUUCUGCUACUCCACAAUCUACAGUUCUGCAAUUGAUCGCUUUACUGCUCGAUUCCUGAUUCUGUUACUCGACAAUCCACCAAUUUCAAGGUUCCAGGUGAAUAUUGUCUGAUCAGAUUAGUCUCUUUGAUUGAAAGUAAGCAAAAUAGUGUUGGUUAUUGCAGUUUGGAAACUAGGGCAUAUUACUCAAAUGUGGACAUGUUCUGGCUGUGGUAGCUUCAUGCCACACCAUUGCAUUUGAUAAAACAGGGACAUUGACUAGUACUAGUGGUGGAGUUAUGUUCAAGGCAGUUGAUCCCAUUUAUGGUCAUCAAAUUAGAAACAAGGAAUCUAACCUUUCUUCCUGCUGCAUUCCCACCUGUGAAAAGGAAGCUAUUGAUGUUGCUGCAGCUAUGGAAAUGGGCAUAACUCACCCCAUUGGAAGUGUUUGUUUGCGUCGAGAGGAGGAUUCAACAAGAAUUCACAUUCUAGUGUAGUUUCUUAUCGGAAACAAACAAGGUGAAGUUUCCGAGGAAAGUUACUCAACCUUGAUUGAAAAAGGCUUAUUCGAAUUCUCUCAUAAAAUAGGUUGCCAGUAUUCGGGUUAUGGGUGACAAAGCAACUGCUAGAGAAACAAUGAAGAAAACAAAUGUUCCUACUGUUCCAGGAAGUGAUAGGCUUUUGCAAGUAUAACAUUAGACACUGGUGUGUUGAUAGCAUCAAAUAACUUCAAUAAAAAGUUUGAAGUGAAUUUUGGAUUCCAUGACAUCAGUUUAUUCAUAAUAAUAAAUUUAACAGAGCACUGAAGAAGCUAUUGGGUUGGCACACGAGAUUGGCUUCCCUCUGAUGAUCAAGAUAGAUCGGCUUAUUAUUCUGUAUCUGUAACCCUGUGAUGACCAUAAUUUAUAUGAUUCUUUUAAACUGAUUGGCUUGCCUUCACUCCUUCUCAAUACAACAGUGAUAGGUCCACUGAACUUUUGUAUUGAUUCUAUAGAUAGUUCCAUAGAGGGUUAACUUAAAUAAUCAUCUAAAAUGGUCUUUGAUAUUUGUUGUAGGCACUUAUUGAAAAUUUUCUUUAUUACUUAAUUAUUGUUAUUUAUUACUUUAAUUAUUUUUAUUUGUUAUAGUCAAUAUUGGGUUUGGCUUAUAUUAUAAGUGAAUUACGACGGUUUAUAAUGAUAAAAUUUUUAGUAUAUUACAAUGGUUCUAACCAACGUAAAAUUUGAAGAUAUUUGUUUAUUAAGUGAACAAUACGGCGCUUAGAACAGCCACUAUUUUCAAACAUAAACUGCCACUUUAAACUAGGUAAAGAACGGCGGUUGAUUUUAAACCGCCAUUAUUUUCCUUGCGGCAGCCAAAUUUAUGGCAUUUUUCAAAACGUC